CCUACGGGAGGCAGCAGUGGGGAAUAUUGGACAAUGGGCGAAAGCCUGAUCCAGCAAUGCCGCGUGAGUGAUGAAGGCCUUAGGGUUGUAAAGCUCUUUUACCAGGGAUGAUAAUGACAGUACCUGGAGAAUAAGCUCCGGCUAACUCCGUGCCAGCAGCCGCGGUAAUACGGAGGGAGCUAGCGUUGUUCGGAAUUACUGGGCGUAAAGCGUACGUAGGCGGUUAUUCAAGUCAGAGGUGAAAGCCUGGAGCUCAACUCCAGAACUGCCUUUGAAACUAGGUAGCUAGAAUCACGGAGAGGUUAGUGGAAUUCCGAGUGUAGAGGUGAAAUUCGUAGAUAUUCGGAAGAACACCAGUGGCGAAGGCGACUAACUGGACGUGUAUUGACGCUGAGGUACGAAAGCGUGGGGAGCAAACAGGAUUAGAUACCCUGGUAGUCCACGCCGUAAACGAUGAUAACUAGCUGUUCGGUCUCUACGAGACUGAGUGGCGCAGCUAAACGCAUUAAGUAUCCGCCUGGGGAGUACGGUGCAAGAUUAAAACUCAAAAUGAAAUUGACGG
rnacentral:rRNA from 1 species